UGGGGAAUAUUGCACAAUGGGCGAAAGCCUGAUGCAGCAACGCCGCGUGAGCGAUGAAGGCCUUUGGGUCGUAAAGCUCUGUCCUUGGGGAAGAAAAAAAUGACGGUACCCUUGGAGGAAGCCCCGGCUAACUACGUGCCAGCAGCCGCGGUAAUACGUAGGGGGCAAGCGUUAUCCGGAAUUAUUGGGCGUAAAGAGUGCGUAGGUGGUCUUGUAAGCGCGGGGUGAAAGGCAAUAGCUUAACUAUUGUGAGCCCUGCGAACUGUGAGACUUGAGUGCAGGAGAGGAAAGCGGAAUUCCUAGUGUAGCGGUGAAAUGCGUAGAUAUUAGGAGGAACACCAGUGGCGAAGGCGGCUUUCUGGACUGUAACUGACACUGAGGCACGAAAGCGUGGGGAGCAAACAGG
rnacentral:rRNA from 1 species